AUUGAACGCUGGCGGCAUGCCUUACACAUGCAAGUCGAACGGCAGCACGGGAGCAAUCCUGGUGGCGAGUGGCGAACGGGUGAGUAAUAUAUCGGAACGUGCCCAGUCGUGGGGGAUAACGUAGCGAAAGCUACGCUAAUACCGCAUACGAUCUAUGGAUGAAAGCGGGGGGAUCGCAAGACCUCGCGCGAUUGGAGCGGCCGAUAUCAGAUUAGGUAGUUGGUGAGGUAAAGGCUCACCAAGCCAACGAUCUGUAGCUGGUCUGAGAGGACGACCAGCCACACUGGAACUGAGACACGGUCCAGACUCCUACGGGAGGCAGCAGUGGGGAAUUUUGGACAAUGGACGCAAGUCUGAUCCAGCCAUUCCGCGUGCAGGAUGAAGGCCCUCGGGUUGUAAACUGCUUUUGUACGGAACGAAAAGGUUUCUAUUAAUACUAGGAGCUCAUGACGGUACCGUAAGAAUAAGCACCGGCUAACUACGUG
rnacentral:rRNA from 1 species